CCUACGGGUGGCUGCAGUGGGGAAUAUUGGACAAUGGGCGAAAGCCUGAUCCAGCCAUGCCGCGUGUGUGAAGAAGGCCUUCGGGUUGUAAAGCACUUUCAGUGGGGAAGAAAGCCUUGGGGCUAAUACCCUCGAGGAAGGACAGCACCCACAGAAGAAGCACCGGCUAACUCCGUGCCAGCAGCCGCGGUAAUACGGAGGGUGCGAGCGUUAAUCGGAAUUACUGGGCGUAAAGCGCGCGUAGGCGGUCUGAUAAGCCGGUUGUGAAAGCCCCGGGCUCAACCUGGGAACGGCAUCCGGAACUGUCAGGCUAGAGUGCAGGAGAGGAAGGUAGAAUUCCCGGUGUAGCGGUGAAAUGCGUAGAGAUCGGGAGGAAUACCAGUGGCGAAGGCGGCCUUCUGGACUGACACUGACGCUGAGGUGCGAAAGCGUGGGUAGCAAACAGGAUUAGAUACCCCUGUAGUC
rnacentral:rRNA from 1 species